rnacentral:rRNA from 1 species
UACGGAGGGUGCAAGCGUUGCUCGGAAUUAUUGGGCGUAAAGGGUAGGUAGGUGGUCUCAUUUGUCUGGGGUGAAAGCCUUGAGCUUAACUCAAGAAGUGCCCCAGAAACGGUGAGACUGGAGUCCUGGAGAGGGUCGUGGAAUUCCCGGUGUAGCGGUGAAAUGCGUAGAGAUCGGGAGGAACACCAGAGGCGAAAGCGGCGACCUGGACAGGUACUGACACUCAACUGCGAAAGCGUGGGGAGCAAACAGG